rnacentral:rRNA from 1 species
UACAGAGGGGGCAAGCGUUGUUCGGAAUUAUUGGGCGUAAAGAGCUCGUAGGCGGUUUGUUGCGUCGGCUGUGAAAUCCCGAGGCUCAACCUCGGGUCUGCAGUCGAUACGAGCAAACUAGAGUGUUGCAGGGGAGACUGGAAUUCCUGGUGUAGCGGUGAAAUGCGCAGAUAUCAGGAGGAACACCGGUGGCGAAGGCGGGUCUCUGGGCAACAACUGACGCUGAGGAGCGAAAGCGUGGGGAGCGAACAGG